UUCCAUGUUCUAUCAUGGAAACAUUAAGAUAUGGAAGGCAAAAUUUAACUAGGGCUGGGAAAGUGAGAUAAUUCCAAGGAUAAAGGUCUAGACCUUCAGUCACAAUUCGUGGGCCAGCACUGCCUCCACAGCCCUGUCAGAGGUAGAGGAGAGCUCCAGGGAACUCAGGGGACCCCAGCCCCAUGGGAUCCUCCUCGUGAAGGAUGCAGCAACUCAGGUGUGCGACUCUCCAACACGACAUUGUAGAAUAAUUCCUCUUGGGUUGAUUCAGAAGAAGGUGCCAUAUGCCCCCCGCGUGUCUCCAAGCAUGCUUUCCCAGCCUGGCUCUUGAUCAGCACCAAACUUCUAUCAUUUGCAGUCAGUAACAAAGAUUCAUCCUUGUGUCUGUCAAGCAACAAGGAGAAUCUUUGUCCCUUAGUGUAAUUAAUAGCCAUACCUCCUAUGGGAAGACAGAAGAAGAAUGCCCUUCAUACAGAGACUUGGAUUCAGAUCAGGCUUCAUGGGUCUUUGCUGCUUACUGACCAGUGGAAAUGCCAGAGGUCCAGCAAAGCGGGAAGUUGGUAAACAAAUGUUUCUUCUGGGGCCACGUGUGUUCCCACCUCCAAGCCCAAUAACUGUAGUCCAGGAGAGCUCUCGAACUUUUCCUAUUGAACCAGAUGGACUUGGAGGCUCCUCCACCAUGAAUGUCCUACACCCAGGCCUUGAAUCCUCCCCGCUGCCUGCCACCACGUUGUUUCCGUGGACCUCCAGACAGCUUCCAUGUAGGAGAAAAAAAUAAAAAUAGAAAUGAGAAACCA